CCAUCCCAUCGUCUUCACUGAGAGAGAGAGAGAGAGAGAGAGAGAGAGUCGAGCUGGAGCAGCCGCUCACCGGUGAGGCCUCGCCGCGUCCCGUCGGUGGCUUAGAUUUCGGGGAGGCGCUCGAGGGGAGCGACGGCGGCGGCGACCUGAGAGGCGGCGGAGGUGCUGCUCGCAGGAAGUGGCGGUGGCGGCGACUGCCACACCAGCGGAGCUGUCCAAUGCCGCAGCAGGGGCCUACCACGGCUCCGGCAAGGUGCCUGCGUUGCAAGCGGGGAGCGAAGACGGCGGCGACCUGGGAGGCAGCGGAGGUGCUGCUAGCAGGGAGCGGCGGCAGCGGCGGCGACCGCCCCUCCAGUGGAGCAAUCCAGGCGGCGGAGGCGGCGUGCUCGGUGGAUUGACGAUGACGACGGCACCCUUCGCGAGAAGAUCACCCGGUGGAUUGACGACGACGACGAACGGACCUCGUCCUCAACAUGUGUGAGCGAUUGGCAACAUCGACACCAGUGGUACGACUACGAGUAUGCAUUUCAACAUGGCAAAUUUUGUGUGGAAGAUGCUUAAACAGGUGCAUCUUUGACCAAGUAUAGGACGGGCAGAUGUCGUUAAAGGAAUACUCAUGGUUUCUGAAGACUGACUAUGGCUGAGUACUACACAGCAACAAACUCAGUUUAUAAAGUGCAAGAUUUUGUAGAAGUUCAAUGUUUUAAAAAGAGGGCUCGGACAUGGCGACAAGAAUGAAGGUGGAGGGGAAGGAGUGGAGAGAAAGAUGUCUGUCUCCACGUGGUGCGAAAAAGACUAUACAAGAUUCUGGAGGAGUCUAGGAUGGCAAACCUAGGGCGUGAUGGGCAGCAUGAAACAUAAGAAAGGUGGAUAUCCGUCCUGUGCCGUCGGAGAGGAAGAAGACGGUAGGCGGGCUCAGGAGAUGACGCAACAACAGCCGUCGAGCGAGGCGAUCAGCAGAGGCUGCAGCUCCCACAGCUCGCGUUUCUGUUUUGGCGGCGUGCGUUCGCGUGGGGAUGGAGCUCGUACGCCGGGAAGAACUGGCGUCUCGAUGGAGCUCGUACGGCAGGAAGAACUGGCGUUCGUUGGCGGGUCGAAGAAGUUUGAUUUUUGGUCGAUGGACGUCGUCCUCGUUCGUGGGUUGCGGAGCUGUUCUUUUAUUGACUGGGCGCGAUCGUGGGGUUCCGUGGACUUGUCGUUCGUGUGUACAACUGUGGAUCUCGUUCUCGUACGUGGGCUGAGUUGGUGAAUUUUUUUUGUUUGCGGGCGCUGAGUUGGUGAUUUUUCGUAGGUGGGCUGAGUUGGUGGGCUGCUGCGUGCGUGUGGGAGUUCGGGCGAUGGUUUUUGUUCGAAGGGAGGGGGAUCGAUCGAGGUCGAACCAUCACGACGUUCGAUCCCCCUUUAAUAGUAGAGAAGAAUAGAUGGCCAUUUUUAAAAUAUAUAUUGCACAUUUUAUAAUAUACAACGAACAGUUUAUAAUA